rnacentral:rRNA from 1 species
GAAAGCUUGCUUUUGAUGACGAGUGGCGCACGGGUGCGUAACGCGUAUGCAAUCUACCCUUUACUGGAGAAUAGCCCUUGGAAACGAGGAAUAAUACUCCAUAGAAUAGCUGAAUCGCAUGGUUCUGGUUAUUAAAGCUUCGGCGGUAGAGGAUGAGCAUGCGUCCCAUUAGUUAGUUGGUAAGGUAACGGCUUACCAAGACGUCGAUGGGUAGGGGGCCUGAGAGGGUUAUCCCCCACACUGGUACUGAGACACGGACCAGACUCCUACGGGAGGCAGCAGUGAGGAAUAUUGGUCAAUGGACGAAAGUCUGAACCAGCCAUGCCGCGUGCAGGAUGACUGCCCUAUGGGUUGUAAACUGCUUUUAUAUAGGAAGAAACCCCCGAACGUGUUCGGGGCUGACGGUACUAUAAGAAUAAGGACCGGCUAACUCCGUGCCAGCAGCCGCGGUAAUACGGAGGGUCCAAGCGUUAUCCGGAUUUAUUGGGUUUAAAGGGUACGUAAGCGGAGUUUUAAGUCAGUAGUGAAAGCCCAUCGCUUAACGAUGGAACUGCUAUUGAUACUGAUACUCUUGAAAAUAGUUGAAGUGGGCGGAAUACCGCCUGUAUCGGUGAAAUGCAUAAAUAUGCCGUGGAACACCAAUCGCGAAGGCAGCUUCCUAUCCUAUUAUUGACGCUAAUGUACGAAAGCGUGGGAAGCGAACAGGAUUAGAAUCCCCUGGAGUCCCCCGCCCUAAACCAUGAUUACUCGGGGGCUGGGAU